rnacentral:lncRNA from 9 species
UUUUUUUAUGUAAAUGUUUUAUAUAAUAUUUUGCUGCUUAUGAGUAAUAUACUCACAUGUGGUUGCUUGCUUUCAAGUAAUAGAUCAAUCUCCUAUAAUGAUAAUUUUGUUGGUUUUCUUUUACAUUGAUAGAAUCCAUAGUCUCAUAGUUCCAGGGACUUCAUAAUCCAGCCCCUUGAAAAUCUUUUUUCCCUAUGACUCUCUUUCAGCCAGAUAAGCCCAUUUGUUGUUAAACAUGACAUGUCUUUUAUGGCUUUUUCUCCUUUGCUCAUUAAUUACUCUGUUCUCCAGUGAGAAUAUCCUUUCCUCAUUCUCCUAUUCUCACCACCCUUCAAAGAUUACCUUAUCAAGCCACGUUUGCUGGGGUGCAUUCUGUUCUUAGUACUAUAUAUUUAAAAGGGAGCCCAAAGACACCAACUUGAACUCAUGUUGAACAAGGAACAUGGGAUAUUUAGCCAGAGGAGGAGACUUAGGAGAAACAAACAAACAAACAAAAACUUUAAAUAAUUUGAAGUUUGUGAAACAGAAGAGGAAUUCUGUGUCACAGUUUAAAAGGGGAAAAGCAGAACCAGUGACAAUAAUAGUAUUUAUUAAUCCUAAAAUGCUAUCAUCUUUAAUUCUUAUACUAACUCUAUAAGGAGCCAGUAUUAUUAUACUUGUUUUACAAUGUAGAAAUUGAGGAUUGAAAUGAUCUUUUUCUCAAGGUAUUAGAGGUGAUAAAUAACUGGAAGAGCCCAGAUUCUAACAUGGGUCUAUCUGAUUCUAGAACCUGGAUCUCUUUAUCACCACAUUAUACUGAGCAAUGCUUCACAAUCAUUUUCAUAGCAGAGCAUAAAUGCUUCUGUGGCUACUUCAGGCCCUGCAGGACAGCUAGGGAAUAGAUAAGUCAGCACAUCUGUAAUACCCUGGGGCACCUGAGGAUGAUGGACACAGGGACUGGGAAGCUCUGGAGAGCACUAUCAGAUUCAGUAAGGAGGCAAAUUAGAGCAUAAGGAAGAACAUUAUCUUUAAGGACUUGAAAUAGGAUGUCUCAUGAAAGUAAAUUCUGUUAUUACUGGAGAGGAUUUUUUUGUAAACAGCCAUUUAUUAAUGAUGUGGUACAAGGAAUUCAUCUAGUUGGAUUAAAGGAUCUCUGUUAUUUCCCUGGUGAAAUGAUUCUGAGUUACAUUUCUUUUAUGAUGCCCUUUCCUCCAAGCCAGCUCCCAAAGAUUCUACCUCCUAUUAACUAUACUAGGACUUGUCAGCACUGAUAUUUGUAUUUAUCAGCCACUACCUUGUGACAUUUCUAGUAUGUCUAGGUAACUACUGCCUAUUGUUUAUCUUCUCACUUAGGAGCCUAAACCUCUAGUAGCAAUUAUAAGCUCCUUAAGGUCAGCAUCCAUAUAUUAAAUGUCUUCUUAUCUCCUACAGAAAGUAAAAUAUUCCUAUUGAAUAGGGAGAGGGAAAAUGCCAAGACUGAACUGAGACUGGAGAUGAUUAUUUAUCUACAUUAUUCUCUCUCAUUUCCUAUUUCUGAAUAUAGUACACUUGACUGUCUACCUAUUUUUGAGCAUUAAAAUAAAAUCAACUCUGUACCAACACACUACAAAAUGUCCUUCAAAAUUCUAUAGAAAAAGAAUAAAUAUGGACUUACCAGCUCCUGGAAAGAAAAGCUCUGCAAAGAAAUACCACUUGCUGGAAUAACUCAACUUCUCUCCUCUUGCUCCCAAGAAAAAAGAAUUUGGUUAUCUGGCAAUGGUUGUUGCAAAAAUUAACUAAAAAGGAUGCUUUGCUAAAAGGAGAACCAAAUGGCAACGUGGAAUGUUCUUUGAGACAAGAGCCAGAAGUCUUACAUGAGUCGAUGCAUUUUAGCUCUGAGUCCAUGGACUACCUACGGCACACAUCCCUCAUGAAAAACACUUCAAAUGAUCAAACAAUUUAGCUACUCUGGAGAGACUGUUGACAUCUUACCCUGACAGGCUCAUCGAAAUCAAACUCCCCUCCUAACCAGGUCCACAUGCAUGGCAUACAGAAGUUCCUGGGCUAAGGGUUGAAUUGAUCUGAGCUGUCUGAGCUGCAGCUGUCAGCCUAUACCAGAGCCACAGUAACACCAGACAUAAGCUGCAUCAACACCAAACAUAAGCCACAUCUGCAACCAGUGCCACAGCUUGCAGCAAUGCUGGAUCCUCAACCCAUAGAGCAAGGCCAGGGAUCAAUCUGCAUUCUCACGGACACUAUGUCAAGCAUCAUGUGGAUUUGUCAUAAUGGCUUUUAUUAUGUUGAGAUAUGUUCCCUCUAUACCUACUUUGGUGAGAGUUUUUAUCAUGAAUGGAUGUUGAAUUUUAUCAAAUGCUUUUCUGUAUCUAUUAAGAUGAUCAUGUGGUUUU